AAAGCGUUGUGCGUUUAAUGUCGAACGCAUGGAAAGUGUCCGCAUUAACGGAUGUGAUUUCAACUCAUCCCCCUCUGCAACCGGCUCUGCUCGCCGUUCAUGUCGAUCACACCUCAACAGUUGGUUUCAACCACAGAUUAAAUGACCAACUUUCGGUUUGCUUGGAUAACUUCCCCUUCACUAUAGUCGACCAUAAAAUGAAAUCUGGCGCUUUGAAAACGAGAUCCUCUUACCUUGACGAAUUUUUUUCGAACUUUUCAUGAGAUUGAACUUUAGAUGACAAACAGUCUGAGGAAACGAGGGCGGACAAGAAGGACACAUUAUGGCAAUAUGCGGCAGACGGAGUCGGCCCAAGUUCAUUCUGUACAUUCUCGGGGCGUUUGUAGUGGGAUAUUUAGUGUUUCAUAGGAACACACACAGUGAUAUCGGACUGGCGAGUCGAAGAGAAGUUCCAGUCGAGGAGCCCAAAAAUGUGGACGAGGAAUUUCUGAAGAAACCUGUUUACGAGAAGCCUCCUCUAAACAUAAAUGCGUUGGGAGAGAUGGGUAGAGCUGUUAAACUGGACCUGACUGAAGAAGAGAAGCGAGAGGAGGAGGAGAGCAUCAAAAAACAUCAGAUAAACACUUAUGUGAGUGAUAGGAUAUCAUUACACCGCAGGCUGCCUGAAAGAUGGAAUCCACUAUGUAGAAACCUGAAAUAUGACUACCUGAGCCUGCCGUCGACAUCAGUAGUGAUAGCCUUUUACAAUGAAGCCUGGUCCACACUACUGCGGACAGUGCACAGUGUCCUGGAAACCUCGCUGGACCUGCUGCUGACUGAAAUCAUACUGGUGGAUGACUACAGUGACCGAGAUCAUUUAAAAGAACCUCUAGAAAACUACAUCGCCAAUCUCAAAAAGGUGCGUCUGAUCCGUGCAAGGAAGAGAGAGGGUUUGGUGCGAGCGCGGCUCCUGGGGGCGUCCAUUGCCACAGGAGAAGUGCUGACCUUCCUCGAUUGCCACUGUGAGUGUCAUGAAGGCUGGUUGGAGCCUUUACUCCAGAGAAUAAAGGAUGAGCCUUCGGCUGUGGUGUGUCCAGUGAUUGAUGUUAUCGACUGGAACACCUUCCAGUACCUGGGCAACCCUGGAGAACCUCAGAUCGGAGGAUUUGAUUGGCGAUUGGUGUUCACGUGGCACACUGUCCCAGAACGUGAACAGAAACGCAGAAGUUCUGCCACUGAUGUCAUCAGGUCUCCUACAAUGGCUGGGGGUUUGUUUGCAGUCAAUAAGAAGUACUUCCAUUACCUGGGCACAUAUGACACAGGAAUGGAGGUGUGGGGUGGAGAGAACCUGGAGUUCUCAUUCAGAAUCUGGCAGUGUGGAGGGAGUCUGGAAAUCCAUCCCUGCUCUCACGUGGGUCAUGUCUUUCCGAAGAAAGCGCCAUACUCGAGAAACAAGGCCUUGGCCAACAGCGUGCGGGCGGCAGAAGUCUGGAUGGACGAAUACAAAGAAAUGUAUUACCAUCGCAGCCCUCAUGCUCGUCUGGAAGCAUAUGGUGAUGUGACGGACAGACGGAAACUCCGAAUGCGUCUUGGCUGUAAAGAUUUUAAGUGGUUCUUGGAGAACAUCUACCCUGACAUUCAAGUCCCAGAGGACAGGCCUGGAAUGUUUGGCAUGCUGAAGAAUAAAGGAAUGGCCAACUACUGCUUUGACUACAACCCACCUGAUGAUCACAAUAUGGCCGGUCACCAGGUCAUUCUUUACCCUUGUCACGGCAUGGGACAAAACCAGUUCUUUGAGUACUCCACACUCCAAGAGAUCCGUUAUAACACGAGGGAGCCUGCAGGCUGCGUCGUGGCUGAUCCUGUCUCCACAUUCCUUACCAUGCAUCACUGCAGUAAACCCAGGGAAGCUGUGCCUGAAGACCAGAAGUUUCUAUUCAGAGAGGACGGCUCUCUCUACCAUGUUCAGACACAGAAGUGCAUUGAGGCAGUAGCCCGGACUGACACUGGGAACCCUGGCCCCGCUCUCCGGCCCUGCUCCGACUCGGCCUCCCAGAAGUGGUUGUUUGAAGAGAGAACAUAGCAAAGAGCUUGACAUCCAAAGACAUCUUUCAUAGGAUCCAUAUCAUUGGAUUUCAUAGGAAACACUGCCAUUACGGACACUGAUGCCAGACGAUCUACAAGGGAAGGUAACUUUGAGAUUAUUUGUCAACGUCUGUUAGUGUUCAAGGACAACUAUAAACCAUAAAGUUUAUUUGAAAACAGUUGAGGUCAGAAGAGCCUUGCAAACUCUGCGAGGUUGCCGUCCAAAACCAUGGAGAGACCUGGUGUUAAGCCCAGCUGCUCUAAGAUCCUCCCAAGGCUAUGCACUGUCAACCUCAGGUUCUGCACUGGAAUCAACCACCUUUCCAGAGACCUUCAAAGUCUGGGACUAAACGCUUGUUUUAUCCAAACUGUGACGGCGACGAAAGUGGUUUGUGGGAUCAAAAGGUACAAGUGCUCAGGCUGUCUGUGCUACUACAAUGAGCUUGAGCAGCUGAUGACACACAUAGAGCAGGGCUGGAGAGAAGGCUACAGCUGUAGAGUGUUCUACCGGAAGCUGAAGGACAUGAAGGACUGCAGGGAGUUACUGGCCGCAUAUGAAGAAGAAGAAGCUGCAGCUUCUGAAAGCGACCCUCAGCUCGGUGCCUCCUCGACUCUGAGGCAGAGCAGUAGAGAUGAGAAGCUGGACAUGGUCCUCGGGUGGCUGCAGGAGUGCAUGUCAAGUUGCUGGCAAUGAUUUCAUUAAAACAUUUAUGGCUGCAUUUGUUGCAAUUUAGAUUUUUAGAAGAAAUUUUGCUGAAUGUCUUGAUUUUUUCAAUACAAUGACAAAGAGGGACAGUGGCUGUGAAGCUCUGAAGGGCUGAAUUGUUCCUUCUAUUUAUAUAAUAAUAAUUAUAUAAUAAUGAUAUGCAUAAAGGACUCUUCAGAAUAAGCAGUUUAGAUCUCUUAAUGAAACCCUUAAUCAAGUUGCAAGGUUGCAUCAAAACCAAUACAUUUCCACCACCACUUUAUGUAUAGUGAUGCUGCAUCAAAAUGUAAAAUUAUUCAGAGACAAUUACUUGCAGUGUAAACAAUAUUACAGUUUCCUAUUUAGGAUGAGUCUGAGAAGAGGAGAAUCUGUCCAUGAUGACAGGGUGAUGAGCAGAGUCAGAACACAUAUCACACUUGCAUGGCAAAGUAUGGAAUCUGCUCGUCUUGCCAUUCCAAAACGAAUGUUCAUGGCAUUUCCUGUCAAGAAUGUUUCAUUCUGGGAGGGGAAAAAAUCCAGUCGACACAUUUGAAACAGCUCAUGUCUGUUCAUUACAGUCUAUCUAUCUAUCUAUCUAUCUAUCUAUCUAUCUAUUUUCCCCAUCAUUAUAUCUAUUUUUCUCAUCCAUCUAUACAUCUAUCCAUAAUUAUAUCUCAUUUUCCCAUCCAUCUAUCCAUCCAUCA